ACGAUGAAGAGUUUGAUCCUGGCUCAGGAUGAACGCUAGCGGCAGGCCUAACACAUGCAAGUCG
rnacentral:rRNA from 1 species